UACGGGGGGGGCAAGCGUUGUUCGGAAUUACUGGGCGUAAAGGGCCAGUAGGCGGCCAACUAAGUCCGACGUGAAAUCCCCAGGCUUAACCUGGGAACUGCGUCGGAUACUGGAUGGCUUGAAUUCGGGAGAGGGAUGCAGAAUUCCAGGUGUAGCGGUGAAAUGCGUAGAUAUCUGGAGGAAUACCGGUGGCGAAGGCGGCACUCUGGGCCGUGACUGACGCUGAGGAGCGAAAGCGUGGGGAGCAAACAGG
rnacentral:rRNA from 1 species